CUAGCUACAGGCUUAACACAUGCAAGUCGAGGGGCAGCAUGGUCUUAGCUUGCUAAGGCCGAUGGCGACCGACGCACGGGUGAGUAACACGUAUCCAACCUGCCGUCUACUCUUGGACAGCCUUCUGAAAGGAAGAUUAAUACAAGAUGGCAUCAUGAGUCCGCAUGUUCACAUGAUUAAAGGUAUUCCGGUAGACGAUGGGGAUGCGUUCCAUUACAUAGUAGGCGGGGUAACGGCCCACCUAGUCUUCGAUGGAUAGGGGUUCUGAGAGGAAGGUCCCCCACAUUGGAACUGAGACACGGUCCAAACUCCUACGGGAGGCAGCAGUGAGGAAUAUUGGUCAAUGGGCGAGAGCCUGAACCAGCCAAGUAGCGUGAAGGAUGACUGCCCUAUGGGUUGUAAACUUCUUUUAUAAAGGAAUAAAGUCGGGUAUGGAUACCCGUUUGCAUGUACUUUAUGAAUAAGGAUCGGCUAACUCCGUGCCAGCAGCCGCGGUAAUACGGAGGAUCCGAGCGUUAUCCGGAUUUAUUGGGUUUAAAGGGAGCGUAGAUGGAUGUUUAAGUCAGUUGUGAAAGUUUGCGGCUCAACCGUAAAAUUGCAGUUGAUACUGGAUAUCUUGAGUGCAGUUGAGGCAGGCGGAAUUCGUGGUGUAGCGGUGAAAUGCUUAGAUAUCACGAAGAACUCCGAUUGCUAAGGCAGCCUGCUAAGCUGCAACUGACAUUGAGGCUCGAAAGUGUGGGUAUCAAACAGGAUUAGAUACCCUGGUAGUCCACACGGUAAACGAUGAAUACUCGCUGUUUGCGAUAUACGGCAAGCGGCCAAGCGAAAGCGUUAAGUAUUCCACCUGGGGAGUACGCCGGCAACGGUGAAACUCAAAGGAAUUGACGGGGGCCCGCACAAGCGGAGGAACAUGUGGUUUAAUUCGAUGAUACGCGAGGAACCUUACCCGGGCUUAAAUUGCAGAUGAAUUACGGUGAAAGCCGUAAGCCGCAAGGCAUCUGUGAAGGUGCUGCAUGGUUGUCGUCAGCUCGUGCCGUGAGGUGUCGGCUUAAGUGCCGUAACGAGCGCAACCCUUGUUGUCAGUUACUAACAGGUUCCGUUGAGGACUCUGACAAGACUGCCAUCGUAAGAUGUGAGGAAGGUGGGGAUGACGUCAAAUCAGCACGGCCCUUACGUCCGGGGCUACACACGUGUUACAAUGGGGGGUACAGAGGGCCGCUACCACGCGAGUGGAUGCCAAUCCCCAAAACCUCUCUCAGUUCGGACUGGAGUCUGCAACCCGACUCCACGAAGCUGGAUUCGCUAGUAAUCGCGCAUCAGCCACGGCGCGGUGAAUACGUUCCCGGGCCUUGUACACACCGCCCGUCAAGCCAUGGGAGCCGGGGGUACCUGAAGUGCGUAACCGCGAGGAGCGCCCUAGGGUAAAACUGGUGACUGGG
rnacentral:rRNA from 1 species